rnacentral:rRNA from 1 species
CCUACGGGAGGCAGCAGUGAGGAAUAUUGGUCAAUGGACGCAAGUCUGAACCAGCCAUGCCGCGUGCAGGAAGACGGCUCUAUGAGUUGUAAACUGCUUUUGUACGAGGGUAAACGCAGAUACGCGUAUCUGUCUGACAGUAUCGUACGAAUAAGGAUCGGCUAACUCCGUGCCAGCAGCCGCGGUAAUACGGAGGAUUCAAGCGUUAACCGGAUUUAUUGGGUGUAAAGGGUGCGUAGGCGGUCGGAUAAGUUAGAGGUGAAAUCCCGAGGCUCAACUGCGGAAGUGCCUCUGAUACUGUUCGUCUAGAGAGUAGGUGCGGUAGGCGGAAUGUAUGGUGUAGCGGUGAAAUGCUUAGAGA